rnacentral:rRNA from 1 species
GACGAACGCUGGCGGCGUGCCUAAUACAUGCAAGUAGAACGCAGUUGCGAACGGGUGAGUAACGCGUAGGUAACUGCCUCAUAGCGGGGGAUAACUAUUGGAACCGAUAGCUAAUACCGCAUACUUUGAGAUGGACCUGCGUUGGAUUAGCUAGUUGGUGAGGUAACGGCUCACCAAGGCGACGAUACAUAGCCGAGCUGAGAGGGUGGUCGGGCAAAAGGGGACGUAGGAAAGGGCCAAAAUCCUAAGGGAGGCAGGAGUAGGGAAUCUUCGGCCAUGGGCGGAAAGCUGAACGAGGAACGGCGGGGGAGUGAAGAAGGUCUUCGGAUCGGAAAGGUCUGUUGUUAGAGAAGCGGUAACUAACCAGAAAGGGACGGCUAACUACGUGCCAGCAGCCGCGGUAAUUC